rnacentral:rRNA from 1 species
CACCACAUCCUGGGGCUGUAGCCGGUCCCAAGGGUAUGGCUGUUCGCCAUUUAAAGUGGUACGUGAGCUGGGUUUAAAACGUCGUGAGACAGUUUGGUCCCUAUCUGCCGUGGGCGUUGGAAACUUGACGGAGCCUGCUCCUAGUACGAGAGGACCGGAGUGGACGUACCUCUGGUGUACCGGUUGUCAUGCCAAUGGCAUUGCCGGGUAGCUAAGUACGGAAGAGAUAACCGCUGAAGGCAUCUAAGCGGGAAACUCGUCUGAAGAUUAGGUAUCC